GAAAGUGACCUUAAUAUCACCAACGAUUCCAAGUAAAAUUAUCCAGAUCAGAUUCUCUUGACUGAACAAAAUUUAGUUAAAGAAAAUUAGGAUUUUAAGAAAAGAAAACUAAAAAGAAUUUUUUAGUUGUCACAAUAAUGUUAUGAAUGAAAUAAAAGAUAACAUGACAUAUAUUUACCUGAGUUGCAAAACUAUUUUAGCUGCCCAUCUAGUCUUAGCGGCAUUGAGUUGAUAAACCAGGCUAAAUCCUUUAUUUUUACCAAAACUCCUAUAAAAAAGAAAACGUAAUUAAGAAUCAGUUCGUGUAAAACUUUUAGUUAUAAAUAGAAUCAUACAUAUAACUUAUAUCCAAGAAAUAACAUCAAUAUUUAUGCAUGGAUAUUAUGGCAAUCUUAUUUUUCAGAUUAUGCUUAAUCUUAUAAAAAUACAGAUGCAUAAAGCUGCUUUAGUGGCUGCAAUAACUAUAAUAAAAAUUGAAAAAAUGUCUCCUCUUAAUUGACGAUUAUCAAAAAUAUCAGAAAAUGUUACAAAAUUGAUAUUCAUUGAAUUUAAUAUAAGUUCAAGGCACAUAAGGGCUCUAACCAUAUUUCGACUUGUGAUCAAUCCAUAGAUAUCAAUAGAAAAUAAAUAGGCACUUAAAACAAGUAUAUGUUCGAGCAUCAUUUUCGAACUCCUUAUCAAUCUUGAUUCAUUUCAAUCUGAACAAUAAUUCACUCGAUUCGAUUCUAACAAAUAUGGAACAAAACAAGGGAAUAGAUUGGUAAUAGAUAGAUAACAAACUAAAGGCUUUCUAUUCUAUUUUUUAGACAAAAAUUAAAAUAAAAUAAAAGGAUUAUAACAUUCAUUUUCUGUUGAUUCUAUUUGAAUUACUCAUUUAAAAAAAAAUAUUGACGAGCUAUAGCAGUUGCACCUAUUAAAGCGACUAAAAGAAUUAUUGAAAUCAGUUCAAAUGGAAGAAAAAAAUCUGUUGAUAAAUGAAUUCCAAUUUGUUGACUAUUACUUAUCAAAUCUUGCUCUAGAGUCUGAUUUGAUUUUGUAGUCCAAACGAUCCCAUACCAGGAUGUAUCUGGAAUAGUAGUAAUUAGUGAAAUAAAAAGACUUGUACAAAACGUUGCAGUAAUUCCAUCCCCAAUAGUCCAAAAUCAAAUCAUUUAGUCUAUAGUUUUAAACCAAAUUAUAGGUUUAACACUAGAUGCAAAGAAAUAUGAAAAUUUGUAGUUAAGUAGGCUUAAUGUUUCAAAUUAUUUUUCUUCGAAAACUCGUUUGGUUCAUAUUUCUUUCUCCUAUUGAACAGUAGUUUGUAUAAAUUAUAUAAGAGGUGUCCAAAACAAACAUCGGCAAUAUUUGCCAGCGAUAAAAUCAAUUUUCAAUACUCCAAAUUUACAAUACUGCAAUUGACAUGUGCAUAAUGCACGAAUCACCAAAAAAUUACAAACACAAUCAACACAAUUGAAGUCUACCUCUUUCAAAUUAAAAAUAAAUAAAUAAAUAAAAGAUAAAAAUUAGAAAAGAGAAUGGCAUGUAUCCUGAUUUUGAAUAAUUUAAUGCUAUUUUCAAAGUUUUGGCAUAAUGCAAGAAUCACAAGUUUAGAAAAGAGAAGGGUCUGUAUCUCCAAAUAAACAAGUAGGUGGUGCAAAAAUUCAAACUUAUACAUUGUACACACGCCAACACAUAUAAAUCCAUAAGUAGUCUAUUUCCAAUUAACUAGGUAAAAGGGAUCUUCCAGGUUUUAUCUGAGAAAAAUGAGGAGACAGACCGGGAGGAGUAGAAAUCAGUUCUACAUUUCUUUAGCACUAUUUUUAUUUGAUAAAUAUUAUAUUUUUCAGUUACCAGUGUCAAUUUUCCUGAAUUGCUACAACAUAAUGCCACUUGAAUGAUCAUCACAAUCUUAUUUUCUAAGUUUAGAAAAGAUCUAGAAGGGUCUGUAUCACAUACUUGGAAAAAAAAAAAAUCAAUGUUAUAUUCCAAGUUUUGGUAUUUUCCAAGAAUCACAAGUUUAGAAAAGAGAAGGGUCUGUAUCACAGACUAAGAAAACAACAUCAAUGCUAUUUUCCUAAAAAAAUUCUUAGUCUGUAUCACAGACUAAGAAAACAACAUAAUGCAAGAAUCACAAACUUAUAUAAAAAAAAAAAAAAAAAAAUUCCAACGAAAUUGAAGCAACUGUAUCCUGAUUUUGAAUAAUUUAAGUAGGAAUAUUUCAACAUAAUCAAUUGAACUACAUACCCCGUUUAUGAAGAACAAAACAUAAAACAUAGAUAAAUUUCAUGUUAAUCCCAAAAAUUAAAAUAGAAGAGAGAAUCGUAUAAUUACUUGUUUGGUAAUUGUCCUCGGUAAUUUUCCUUUGUUGCUGAGAUACAAUCGCGCCAGCCCUCGUGCUUUUCUUCAACGGCGUAUCUCCUCAAGAAUUCCAGCAAAUCUUUGAAGAAGAACAAAUUGGUUUUACGACUUUCCGUGACUAUGUGGAAUUAGGUUUUUCUGCGUGUGAUAGUAUGUCGAGGAGAUGACCCGGACAAAGGGCCGAUCGAGUUUCAGCAGAUUGAUUUGAAGAAGAAUGGUUUGAUUUUUGGGUUUUAUUGAAAUUAGGUUUUUUUGC
rnacentral:lncRNA from 1 species